UACGUAGGGUGCAAGCGUUGUCCGGAAUUAUUGGGCGUAAAGAGCUCGUAGGCGGUUUGUCGAGUCUGCUGUGAAAACUCGGGGCUUAACUCCGGGCCUGCAGUGGGUACGGGCAGACUAGAGUGCGGUAGGGGAGACUGGAAUUCCUGGUGUAGCGGUGAAAUGCGCAGAUAUCAGGAGGAACACCGGUGGCGAAGGCGGGUCUCUGGGCCGUAACUGACGCUGAGGAGCGAAAGCGUGGGGAGCGAACAGG
rnacentral:rRNA from 1 species